GACGAACGCUGGCGGCGUGCUUAACACAUGCAAGUCGAGCGGAAAGGCCCUUUCGGGGGUACUCGAGCGGCGAACGGGUGAGUAACACGUGAGUAAUCUGCCCUUCACUUUGGGAUAACCCCCGGAAACGGGAGCUAAUACCGGAUAUGACCGGCAACCGCAUGGUUUGUUGGUGGAACCUUUUUGGGUGGGGGAUGUGCUCGCGGCCUAUCAGCUUGUUGGUGGGGUAAUGGCCUACCAAGGCUUUGACGGGUAGCCGGCCUGAGAGGGUGACCGGCCACACUGGGACUGAGACACGGCCCAGACUCCUACGGGAGGCAGCAGUGGGGAAUAUUGGACAAUGGGCGGAAGCCUGAUCCAGCAACGCCGCGUGAGGGAUGACGGCCUUCGGGUUGUAAACCUCUUUCAGCACCGACGAAGCGUGAGUGACGGUAGGUGCAGAAGAAGGACCGGCCAACUACGUGCCAGCCGCCGCUGUAAGAC
rnacentral:rRNA from 1 species